UCCGAAGGGGGCGAGCGUUGUUCGGAAUCACUGGGCGUAACGCGUGCGUAGGCGGUUAUGCAAGUUAGGCGUGAAAGCCCCAGGCUCAACUUGGGAAUUGCUCUUAAAACUACAUGACUCGAAUUCGGGAGAGGAUAGCGGAAUUCUCAGUGUAGCAGUGAAAUGCGUAGAUAUUGAGAGGAACACCAGUGGCGUAAGCGGCUAUCUGGACCGACAUUGACGCUGAGGCACGAAAGCGUGGGGAUCAAACAGG
rnacentral:rRNA from 1 species